GAGCUCGUAGCUCAGUCGGUAGAGCACGUGACUUUUAAUCAUGGGGUCAUGGGUUCGAAUCCCAUCGAGCUCACCA
rnacentral:tRNA from 4 species